CCCCUUUCAAACUAUGGUUAUAUUUAAUACCAGAGUCUUUUAGAAUCCAUUCACAGGACUUGAAUCCUGGAUCUGAGUUUGCAAAAGAAAUGAAGCUAAUGAAAGACAAGGAACUUCUGGUCUUAGUUGAGAUGCAAAAAGAAUUUCAAGGAGAAGUCAAGGAACAAAAAACAAUGGCCAAAAUCAUGGUGAGUAAAUUAUAUCCUUUACCCUUGUGAAGAGACUUCAGCCUACAACCACAUUUGUGUCCUCCUCAAUUAUACUGUCAAUAUCUCAAGUCUAAACCCAUGCACACAUUUCUGUUUUCUUUGAAACAUUCCCUCUUCUGCUUGCUCUGGCUGAUUUCUUUUCAUCUUUCAUCCUAAAUAGCUCUUCCUCACGGAUGACUUUACUUGCUUUCCCCACCAACUGAAUUUGAAAUCACUGUUAUGUGCUCCCAUGAUACCUUUGUAAGUUCCCACUUAACUAAUAUCUUACAUUAUGCGAUUGAUCAUUUGAUUGUGUCUCCACAGGAUGGGUUAUAAAAGAAAAAAACUAUUUAUCUGUUUUAUUCCUUCUUUGUAUAGAACUCCAUGAAUUUCAUCCACCAUAUAAUAAGGUAGAUGAUAUUCAUUUCCCACCAGGUGAAAGGUAAGUGUGUUAGUUUCCUAAGGUUAUUGUUAAGUAUAAGAAACUUGGUGACUUAACAGAAAUUUAUUCUCUCACAGCUCUCAAGUCUGGAAGUCCUAAAUCAAGCUGAGGGCUGAGCCACG
rnacentral:lncRNA from 1 species